CAAUAGGUGGAUAAUGCUGCAAUAGGACUGUUUUCUCCCCAGGUGCAUAGAAAUUUUUUAAAUGUCUACAAUGUUGAAAGAUCUGAUAAACUUGUACUAAAUGAUAAAAAUCUUAGAGAAACUACUGAAUCAGUUACUACAAAACAUAAUGUUUUCCCUUUUGGGGCAGCGGAGUAAUUAGAUAUUUAAGAAUUAGGCAGGGCAUGGUGGCUCACGCCUGUAAUCCCAGCACUUUGGGAGACUGAGGCAGUGUUUCACCAUGUUGGCCAGGCUGGUCUCGAACUC
rnacentral:lncRNA from 1 species